rnacentral:lncRNA from 1 species
AUGUUAGUGUAUUUACCAAGUAAAACUCAUGCUGAGGACGUGAGAGAACAGGUUUUUCAUUGUAAGCAUUCAUCAACUUCUUCUCUGUUGCGCUUAAAUUAAGAUUGUCCACAUUCACCACUCUACCUAAGAUUUUUAAUCUAUCUCUAAAGGGUGCGAUCGAAUCCAUAGGGAAGCCUUUAACUCUCUCCACUUCAUCGUUUAUCAUUUUCUUGAUAUUUUCUCGAAAUUGUUCCGAAAGAUCUUUAGAAUAUUUUUCAGAUAAUUUGAAGUACAAAACCACAUUCAUUCCUUCGCCAUCAUUUUCACUUU